AUCCAGCUGACAAGUCCCAAAUAGGAUGAAACGCACAUCCUAGAU
rnacentral:hammerhead_ribozyme from 1 species